rnacentral:rRNA from 1 species
GUAGGGAAUCUUCCACAAUGGACGAAAGUCUGAUGGAGCAACGCCGCGUGAACGAUGAAGGCUUUCGGGUCGUAAAGUUCUGUUGUAAGGGAAGAACAAGUGCCGCAGGCAAUGGCGGCACCUUGGCGGUACCUUGCGAGAAAGCCACGGCUAACUACGUGCCAGCAGCCGCGGUAAUACGUAGGUGGCAAGCGUUGUCCGGAAUUAUUGGGCGUAAAGCGCGCGCAGGCGGCCUCUUAAGUCUGAUGUGAAAGCCCCCGGCUCAACCGGGGAGGGCUAUUGAAAACUGGGAGGCUUGAGUAUAGGAGAGAAGAGUGGAAUUCCACGUGUAGCGGUGAAAUGCGUAGAGAUGUGGAGGAACACCAGUGGCGAAGGCGACUCUCUGGACUGUAACUGACGCUGAGGCUCGAAAGCGUGGGGAGCAAACAGGAUUAGAUACCCGUGGUCC